UCUGUGAACUCCUACGGGAGGCAGCAGAGGGGAAUUUUGGACAAUGGGGGCAACCCUGAUCCAGCAAUGCCGCGUGAGUGAAGAAGGCCUUCGGGUUGUAAAGCACUUUCAGCGAGGAGGAGGCUCUUCUAGUUAAUACCUAGGAUGAGUGGACGUUACUCGCAGAAUAAGCACCGGCUAACUCUGUGCCAGCAGCCGCGGUGAUACGUAGGGUGCAAGCGUUAAUCGGAAUUACUGGGCGUAAAGCGUGCGCAGGCGGUUGUGUAAGUCAGAUGUGAAAUCCCCGGGCUCAACCUGGGAAUUGCAUUUGAGACUGCACGGCUAGAGUGUGUCAGAGGGGGGUAGAAUUCCACGUGUAGCAGUGAAAUGCGUAGAUAUGUGGAGGAAUACCGAUGGCGAAGGCAGCCCCCUGGGAUAACACUGACGCUCAUGCACGAAAGCGUGGGGAGCAAACAGGAUUAGAGACCCUUGUAGUCCAUCAGCG
rnacentral:rRNA from 1 species